CUUUCUCCCUCUCCUUCUCUCCCUCUCCCUCCCUCUCUCGGUCUCAGCAUUUCUGUCUCUCCCGAGAUCUGAUUGCCAAUCUGCCAUAGCUGAACUGAGUACAGAGAACCGAUUGCAUUGUUCGAAUCCGCACGCAUAUCAGGUAUUUCACUUGGCUUCAGAUUUCCAUUCAUGUUCUUGGAGCAAAUCCCUUUCAUUUUUUACUACAAUUUGUAGAUUCACAUAUUAGGUUCCGCUCGAAACUCGACUCUUUUGCCUCAAAUUUGUGUACCCGAUUGAGCAAUUGUAUGAAGAAAAAAAACUGAAAUUAGCUUUUCGGUGAAUUGGGAUAUACAGAAAAUCUUUUCUUUUGCUUAGAAGUUUUGAAAUCUCUAUGCCCAACUGAGUUUAAGCUCUGAACUCAUGGUGAGAGAGAAGACUGUCGAGUCCUUCUACACCAGGCUCCGCGAAUCCGCUACGGCGGCGUCUCAAUCUCAAUCUCCUCUUCUCAUAUUCCCAUCGACUUCGGAUGUGGACUCUCUCUGUGCCCUCAAAAUCAUCUUCCAUGUCCUCGAAUCCGAUUCGGUCCUAUACGCCUGCUAUCCGGUCUCGUCGUUUCAAGAGAUUCACAAGUACGCAGGGCCCGAUCUGUGUUCUUCGUCCGAAAACCCGGUUUCAAUUCUCUUAAUCAAUUGGGGUUGCCACAGGGACCUGAGGAAGCUCCUCAAUUUGGGGCCCAGGGCUCGUGUUUUUGUGGUUGAUAGUCACCGUCCGAUUCAUUUGCAUAACCUGAGUGAUCAGAAUGAUCGUGUGGUUGUGCUCUAUACUUUGGAUGAUGAGAGGCAGACAGAUUUGGCAUAUGAUAUUGAGGAUGUUUCGGCUUUGGCUAAUGCCAGUGAUUUGAAUAGUGAUGACGAGCUGGAUCCUGAAUCGGACAGUGACAGUGACGACGAUGAGAAUGAUGACAGCCAAAGUGAGGAAGAAGAGGAAAAUGGAGAAGGGUCGAGAAAGCGAAGAAGGGUGUCUCAGGAAAAUGACCCAGUCAAGAUCUUUAGGGAACUGAAGAGGAAAUAUUAUCAUUUGGGUACUUUUCAUGGUAAGCCUUCAGGGUGUUUGAUGUAUGAUCUGUCACAUUCUUUGAGGAAGAACACAAAUGAGUUGCUUUGGUUGGCUUGUGUUUCGAUAACGGAUCAGUUUUUGCACGAGAGGUUAACAGAUGAGAGGUACCAAGCUGGCGUGAUGGAGCUUGAGCAGUAUAUUAAUAGUUCCGGGAAUUUGGAGGCAGUAACUACUGUGACUCUCAAAGAUGGGACGAAGAUUCGUGCACCCCAGUCGUCUAGAAUUACAUAUGAAGAUGAACCUAGACUAAUGCUGUUGCAGGAAUGGAAUUUGUUCGAUUCCAUGCUUUGCUCUUCAUACAUUGCAACUAAAUUGAAGACAUGGAGUGACAAUGGGAUGAAGAAGCUUAAGCUUCUUCUUGCAAGGAUGGGAUUUUCGCUUGUGGAUUGCCAGCAGAAGUACAAGUACAUGGAUAAGGAAGUGAAACAGCUGAUGAAAGAGGAGUUCGAGCGGUUUUUACCCGAAUAUGGACUUACAGAUUUCUACUACAGGAGCUUUCUGCGGCUCCAUGGUUACAGAUCAAAGGUAUCUGCAGCAGAUGUGGUGUAUGGAGUUACAGCUCUGCUUGAAUCAUAUGUGACAUCAAAUGGUUCUUGUGCUUCCAAAGAGUUUGGGAUGGCUUAUGAUUCAUUGUCAUUGAACAAUCUUGAUAAACUGAAAGCCGGAAUGCAACAAGCAAUUAAGAUACAGAGGGCAAUUCUUAGACAAGGAAGCAUGGCAAUAACCAAGAGAGGCUGUAUAAGAAGUGGAAGGAAAUUUAGGUGGGUGAAACUUGAAGAUUCUUUAGAUGCAAAAUUGUUGGGGUACCCUCAGGCAUUGACUAAAUUCUGCUAUUUCUUGAUGGAUGGUCUGAGAGAGAAGGGGGCUAGAAUGAAACCUCUGGUUUGUGCUUGCUUGGUACAAGAGCCGAAAAAGGUAUUGAUAGUUGGGGUUUGUGGGAAGCCUCGACUCGGGGCAGUUCAAGGAAACGCAUUUGGAAUGGCAUUUAGAAAUGCAGCUCAGGAGAUUGGUGCAGAGUUCUUCCAUGAGUUGUUUGAGUCUUCAUGGAUUGUUCUGGAGGCAGCUAAAAUGAAUAGCUUUAUGGUGAGAUUGACAGAAGCUGUGAUGUAGAACUUUGCAAGAACAUGUCUAACUCAACCUUUUUUUACUACUUUGAGCAAAGAAACUGAACUUGAUCUUUUCCAGUGAGCAAGCAAAUUUUUUGGCUCCUCUAUUGAUUCUCUUGCACUGAGUCCC